rnacentral:misc_RNA from 1 species
UGGCGGCCGUCACUGCGG